CUACUCCCCUGUUGCGUCUUGCCCUCCCACACGUCGGCCGCGGUCCACCGUGGCUCGAGGNUAGAACGCUGGCGGUUGNGUACUUAACACAUGACAAGUACCGAAACGGAAGACGAGUUCGUUUGUUAGGAACUCCCGGUUUCGGGGUAGGGUAAGGUGGAAGUACGUAGUACUAGAGGUGGGACCGGGUACGGGUGUAAGUAACGUCGGUGGACCACUCGCCUCACAGAGGGGAUAACAGUUAGAAAUGACUGCUAAUACCGCAUAAGCGCACAGCAUGGCAUCAUGCAGU
rnacentral:rRNA from 1 species